AAAAGAAAUCAAACCCAGAAAAUUCGAUAUCUCUCUGGUCACGUUUAUUGAAAUCUCAUCAGAAGAUCAUCUUCAUCACCCGAUCAACGCCCAAGAUAGUGUAUUUUAAAGAAGAAUUUGAUGAAUGAGUCCCAAAAACGGUAGGGACCAUGAGAACGGCGUCAGGUGCGAGAAGAGGAAGAAGUCUAUUCUUCCGAAGAUUUUUGGAUCGAGGCGAUGCGGUAAAGAGGAGGAUGCGUCGCCUAUCAUGGACAACAGAGGAGACGACGACGCCGUUCUUCACGAUUUGGAAAGACGAAUCACUUCCCGGAAGAAACCCUUCUCCGACAAUCCUCCGAUGAUACGGAAGACUUUCUCAG